rnacentral:rRNA from 1 species
GUCGUACGGGUGUAGCGAAAUACACCAGUGGCGAACGGGUGAGUAAUGUAUCGCUAAUGUGCCCCGGAUUCUGGGAUAGCUAUCCGAAAGGGUAGGUAAUACCAGAUGAUAUAACUUUGUCGCAUGGCAGAGUUCUCAAAGGAGUAAUCCGCUCUGGGAGCAGGCGAUAUCGUAUCAGCUAGUUGGUGAGGUAACGGCUCACCAAGGCGACGACGCGUAGCCGGACUGAGAGGUUGGCCGGCCACAUUGGGGCUGAGACACUGCCCAGACUCCUACGGGGGGCUGCAGUAACGAAUCUUCCGCAAUGCACGAAAGUGUGACGGAGCGACGCCGCGUGUGGGACGAAGCCCUUCGGGGUGUAAACCACUGUCAGGGGUUAGAAAGUUCUGAUCAACCCCAGAGGAAGGCACGGCUAACUCUGUGCCAGCAGCCGCGGUAAGACAGAGGUGCCAAGCGUUAGGCGGAAUCACUGGGCUUAAAGCGUGUGUAGGCGGACUUCUAAGUACCUUGUGAAAUCCCACGGCUCAACCGUGGAACUGCUGGGUAUACUGGGAGUCUUGAGCCAUCUAGGGGCUGCCGGAACAAAUGGUGGAGCGGUGAAAUGCGUAGAUAUCAUUUGGAACGCCAAAGGUGAAAACAGGCAGCUGGGGAUGUUCUGACGCUGAGACACGAAAGCCAGGGGAGCGAACGGGAUUAGAUACCCCGGUAGUCCUGGCCGUAAACGAUGUCGACUAGAUCGUGGUACCUCUGACGGUUUCACGGUCGAAGCAAAAGUGCUAAGUCGACCGCCUGGGAAGUACGGUCGCAAGGCUAAAACUCAAAGGAAUUGACGGGGGCUCACACAAGCGGUGGAGCAUGUGGUUCAAUUCGAAGCAACGCGCAGAACCUUACCUGGGCUUGACAUGCUAGGAUUAUCUCCAUGAAAGUGGAGUAGGCCCUUCGGGGUACAACUAGUACAGGUGCUGCAUGGCUGU